rnacentral:rRNA from 1 species
UACGAAGGGGGCGAGCGUUGUUCGGAUUUACUGGGCGUAAAGGGCGCGCAGGCGGCUUUGUUUGUCAGGCGUGAAAGCCCCGGGCUUAACCUGGGAACUGCGUUUGAUACGGCAGGGCUAGAGUUCGGGAGAGGAGCGUGGAAUUCCCAGUGUAGAGGUGAAAAUUCGUAGAUAUUGGGAAGAACACCGGUGGCGAAGGCGGCGCUCUGGACCGAGACUGACGCUGAGGCGCGAAAGCGUGGGGAGCAAACAGGAGUAGAAUC